rnacentral:rRNA from 1 species
UACGGAGGGUGCAAGCGUUGCUCGGAAUUACUGGGCGUAAAGGGCGUGUAGGCGGUUUCGUAUGUCUGGCGUGAAAGCCCCGGGCUCACCUCGGGAAGUGCGUCGGAAACUGCGAGACUAGAGUCCCGGAGAGGGAGGUGGAAUUCCAGGUGUAGCGGUGAAAUGCGUAGAUAUCAGGAGGAACACCUAUUGCGAAGGCAGCUCGCUGGGACGUAACUGACGCUGAGACGCGAAAGCGUGGGGAGCAAACAGG